AGGCGCGUAGUUUUAACUGGCAAAACGUCGGUCUCCAAAACCGAAGUUCUCUGUUCAAACCGGAGCGCGUCUGCCA
rnacentral:tRNA from 1 species